ensembl:lncRNA
AAGGACAAACAGUAUCUAAAAUGCUAUUUCUAAAGGAUAUAAGCAAUUAGGCGAGUAAUGUAAAAAUCCGACAAAUCUCUUGGCAAUUAAGAGACGGGAGAAGCCACCCACAUUUAGACAUGGUGAAAUGUGAAGUGGAAACCUCUCUCACUUACAGUAAUUUCCCUACUUCACUGACGUCUCCUGCAAAGCCAGUUAGUACGGCAUUUCUGAAGAAAAGAAGUGCGUGGAGUUAGACAUGAAAAUUCUUAUUGCAUUAAAUGAAAUGCUACAAUCUACUUGCCCAUUUACCUUUGGAAGCUUCCAUGUUCUGGAUCAUGAAUGCUAUCAACAUCCACAGGUGGACAUUCACUUCCAAGUCAUUUGAGUAAACACAAAAGAAUGAUUGUUGUAAAGCGGGGCUGUGUUUAGUUUUUCUGGAAGCUGCCAAAUUGUUUCCAUUUACAGUUACAGCAUUUUUAAGUGCCCCCACAAUGGACAAAAAUUGCUGCUCUUGUUUCUAGUAUUGAGAGCUGGGUUUUGUAUAUGGCCAUUCUGAUAGAAGUUUGAUAGGAUUGUAGUGUUGAUUAGAUUUGCAUUUCCUUAGUGACAAAUCACAUAGAAUAUUUCUUCUUGUGCUUAUGUUCCAUCUGAAUAUCCUCUUGGGCGAACUGUUAAGGUCUUGGCCUUCAUUUUAAUUGAGUUCUUUGUUUUCUUAUUCUUGACUUUUAAGAGUUCGUGGGGGAGUCAUGUCAAUAAGAUACAUGUGUAUAGUGGCCACCUCCUCCCACAAGAACAGCCAAGCAAAGAACCAACUGUCACAUUCGGACAAAACAACUAAAGGACAGUACCCAUGAACAUCAGAGGACUGGAACCACCUUGGACUCUUACAGGCUUGUCAAUAAGGGAACCUCUGUAGCCCUCAUAGGCAGUUGGCCCAGCAGAGAAAGCUGCCUGGGAUCUAACAGAUCCACUGUCUCCAAAGGAGGAGUUGGUGGUGUGCCCUGCAUCCCAUGGACAGUGUGGUUACAAUUCGGUGGCACCUUGGAACCAGAGCCCUAUUCUGGAGAUAGGAACGAUGGCAUACCUCCACCUCUGAGAAUUCAUCACUAUAGAAACAACCCCACCUGGUGGCCACCAUUCCUGCCACCAAACCACUACUUCACCAUAUUGCUUGUUGCUAAACUGCAUAGUCACUGCACUCCCAGCUGCUGUCACUCUUCGCCUGCCUUAGAUACAGUGGUGCCGAGCACCAAAAGUCUCCAACUGUAAAAUGGACUAACUCGAUUCUGUGUAAUUCUGCCGAAGUUCCUUCAUCUAGUUGAAUGCCCUACUGCUAAGCAACUAUGUAUGAAUUGUUAUGUAUUCUUCAUGAACUGACCCCCUUGUCAUUGUUCAAUUCUGUCUUCACACCUAACUUGCCUUACUCAGAACUUGCCUUGUCUGAAAUUAAUACAGAGGUGUAGAAGUUUGCUUAAAAAUUUUAUCUCCUCUAGAGAUACACAACUGACCACUGGGCAGAGCUCCUGAAAUCCAGUCCAAGAGAGGGAGGAGUGAUAACAGGAGCAAAGAGGUCAAGACCAUGUUGGGGAAAUCCACAGAAACAGCUGACCUGAGCUGGUGGGAGUUCAAUGACUCUGGACUGACAGCUGGGGAACCUGCAGAGGCUGACUUACUCUUGAAUACUGUGGUGGUUUAAAAGAAAA